ACCUGAGUGGCUCACUUGGUUGAGCAUCUGACUUCAGCUCAGGUCAUGAUCUUGCAGUUCGUGAGUUCAAGCCCCACUUCAGGCU
rnacentral:tRNA from 1 species